AUUGCUUCUUGGCCUUUUGGCCAAGGUCAAGUGUAGUAUCUGUUCCUACCAAUUUAGGACUCUAUCAGAGAACAGUAGAGUAAAUGUGUUUUUCCAGCAGGGAAGUGGAGUAGGAGCUUGUUCCUUCUACUCCAUACAUCCACUGGGUACUGCAGUACCUCCGGGAACGGUGCACCUCCA
rnacentral:snRNA from 1 species